UCAAAUGAAGGUGCUCGUGUGAUCAAUUUUAACAAACUCUUUCUCGUAAGAAUAUAAGAUAUGUAUGCAAAUUUCUAAUACAUAUUAAAUUAAUCCCAUUGCAUUGCAAAACGUUACAGAUUUCAGGUAUUCUAUUACACAUUUUUUAAAUAACGAACAUGAAGAAACAUUCAUAAUCUUUGAAAAUACAAUGGCAAUUUAAUGUCUUGAGUAUUUUUUAAAAUUUUAAUGGAAUGAAAAAAAAAAGAAAUCAAGCAUUAAGUAUGGUGUUUUCUCGAACAAAACAUAUUAAAUUCUUCAAACAAAUCGGGCUGAAAAUGCUUUUCUAAAUAUACGGCGUCUAUUGUUUUAUUCAAACCACACUUUUCAACUGCUCUGCAAAAUUUCAGAUUAUCGAAAUUUAGCAGAAUUUUACACAAGUUAAGCUUGAUCGUAAAAAUAAUCGGAAAUUUGGUGGAGGCUACCAAACGUUUGUUGGUUUCUUCUCGAAGUUUGUUAAUUUUUGAUAUUUCAAAAUUUUUCUAAAAUUUCAGCUUUUGAACUUGAGUUUCAUUUUAUUUUUUCGAGAACAUGAAGAAAAUCUUAUAUUUUACCAGAAUAGUAUCAGAAUCGAUGUGAGAACGCAGAAAGUAUUUUCAAUAUUCGUUUUAUUCCAGGCUAAGACUAAUAACACAAAAGUUUGAAUUGAAUUAAGGAGAAACUCAAUUUAUAGAAAUAAUUCUGCCGAUUCUCCAAGAGAGUAUUCGUCAAUUUGAAAAUGGCUAACAAAAUCAUUUGAAAUAAGUUAAUUUAGACAUUAUACUAUUAUAUUGGGGCAAUUCUCGCUGAGAUCGGCCCACUAUUUACACCUUGUCUUCAAAAAUGUUUAAGGUGCCGAUUUUUUGAAAGCCCUCGCUAAAAAAGUGAGAAAAAUGCAUUUGGUUACUCAAAUUGAUGGACCCCCCGUUAGUUAGAGCCACAACAAUUUUUGCAGACCCCUCGAUUUUGGUCAAAACGGCAGAUAACUUUUGAAAGAAGAAAAAGACAUCUCUAAUUUUUUGAUAUGUUAUGUAUAAAUGCCUCAGCUUUCAAUUGAUGCAAAAAAUUUGAAAAUCGGUGGUUGCUCUCAUGGUGAAAAUAAUGUUUUGGUAUUAAAAUCCAAGAUGGCGGCCAAAAUCAAUAUGGCCGACCCAACUUUUUAUUAUUGUAAAUAGUAGCUCUAUCUUUCCUCUUUUCAACAACAAUUCGUUUUGAGGUGGUUUUUGGAGAAACUUUCGAGUUAUAACGGUUUAAGUGACCCGCCAUUUGACCAAAAUCGAGGGGUCUGCAAAAAUUGUUGUGGCUCCAACUAACGGAGGGUCCAUCAAUUUGAGUAACCAAAUGCAUUUUUCUUACUUUUUUAGCGAAUGCUUUCAAAAACUCGGCACCUUAAACAUUUUUGAAGACAAGGUGUAAAUAGUGGGCCGGUCUCAGCGAGAAUUACCCAUUGUCGCACACACUUUCGCGACCCACCGAAUUCAGCCCGCGACCCACCAGUGGGUCGCGACCCAUAGUUUGAGAAACGCUGAGUUACGACAAUUGGCAUGCACGACACCGCGCCGCCACACCGGAGCAGACGACGCACAUGAACCGAAAAGAGCCAAAAUUAAGCUCACACAAUUAUCGACAAUCAACCGGCAAACAACGUCACGACCUAAAAGUCAAUGCCAUCCAUCGGACGCGCCACCAAACAACGAACGGCUUGAGAAGAGCAUGAUCCGGUCAACCCCUACUCUGCAUGUAACGUGUGGUAUGGUAAGUGGCUCUAAGAAGCAGAUGAUAUACUCCAGGAAACACAUUCACCAGCGUACAUUAUUUCAAGAAUCAUUUAGGCCACGCUCGUGAUCUGCUACUUUGGCAACAUAUGGAGGGUCCGUAGAGUAGGACACUGCGCAGCUCGUAGAAGUAGAACUAAGAACAAUCGACUUUUAUGAGAUCGUGCCAAAUACGCGAUCGCUGCCAUCGAUGACGACGACGAUGGUUUCCAAAUCUUGACCAGUUAUUAAUCGGUUCCCGCGCAUAACCAGCUCAGCGCUGUCGCUCAUCACAGAGAGGUCCGUCCGGUGAAUGGACCGGACCACCAACUGUGGCGUGUCGUCGUCACGCACGGUUGGAUUGCAUUCGUGGGAUAUUGCUUAAUUUGCACCAAUUGAUCUGCGGAUUUUGUGCGUACAUUAUUGUGCACGGCGUUCGUAACGCUUGUUUAUACCUACGAAAGACAAUUUAGAGGAGUUUUGGUAUCGUCACGGUACAAUAUUCCAGCUGGUGAUUUGUUGCAGUUUAGGUACUGUUUUAUUUUAAUUUUAGGAUUUUUAGUGCACCGUGAUUCGAAGCGUGAUUGUUUCGUGGGAAAAUCCUUCUUACACGGUGUAUGGAUAAGCCUUAGCCUGAUCUAUAAUUGCUUAGUGGUUCGACGGAAAUAUUGAAAAGGCAGAAUGACCAAGAUUUGUUGGCACGGUAAAGGUUGGGAGACACUUUCUUCCAACACAGCCUCCCUUAUCCCAGGAGAUCAACACAACAGACAGAUCAAUCA